GCCCCCAUCGUCUAGAGGCCUAGGAUAUCGCCCUUUCAAGGCGGUGACACGGGUUCGAAUCCCGUUGGGGGCACCA
rnacentral:tRNA from 1 species